rnacentral:rRNA from 1 species
GACGAACGCUGGCGGCGUGCUUAACACAUGCAAGUCGAACGGAAAGGCCUGCUUUUCCUUGUGGAUUGCGGGUACUCGAGUGGCUAAGGGGUGCGUAACACGUGAGUGAUUUGCCCCCAACUUGGGUAUAAGCCUGGGAAACUGGGUCUAAUUACCGAUAGGACUGCAGGGUGGUGCCUGUGGUGGCAAACGUGUUUCUAGUGGUUGGGGAUGAGCCCGCGCCCUAUCAGCUUGGUGGUGAGGUAAUGGCCUACCAAGGCGGCGACGGGUAGCCGGCGUCAGAGUGUGAUCGUCCACACUGGAACUGAGACAGGGUCCAGACUCAUACGGGAGGCAGAAGUAGGGGAUCGGCCGCAAGGGCCGAAGGCCUGAGGCAGAAGCGGCGAGUGAGUGUGGAAGAUGUCCGGAUCGUAAUACUCUGCUACUUGCGACGAACAAAAGUGUAAGUAGCUAUGCACGUCUUGACGGUACCGGUACAGAAGGCAACGGCUAACUACGUG